CCAAGGAUUAUCUUCUGUUGAAUUUGAGUUGCCAGAGAAUGAAUCUGAGCUCUCUGGGUGGACAAUUCAUGUCGUUUUGACCAAACCAAUGAGAAUUAAAGAAGGCUCUUCCAGACCAGGUGAGGAAACUGGGGCACAGCAAGAUCAGAUACCUUGUCCAGUGUUGCACAGCUUGUAAGUGAUAGAGCUGAAGUUUGAACUAAGGCUAUAGAGCUUCAGGAUCUGUGUACUUCUUACAUUUGGAGAGUCCACAGCAAAAAAUACCCAGUCAAAUCCAUGG